rnacentral:rRNA from 1 species
CUGCCCCUACGGGGGGCAGCAGUGAGGAAUAUUGGUCAAUGGGCGCAGGCCUGAACCAGCCAAGUAGCGUGAAGGAUGACUGCCCUAUGGGUUGUAAACUUCUUUUGUCGGAGAACAAAACCCGGGACGAGUCCCGGACUGCGUGUAUCCGAAGAAAAAGCAUCGGCUAACUCCGUGCCAGCAGCCGCGGUAAUACGGAGGAUGCGAGCGUUAUCCGGAUUUAUUGGGUUUAAAGGGUGCGCAGGCGGACCAUCAAGUCAGCGGUAAAAUCGUGGGGCCCAACCCCAUCCCGCCGUUGAAACUGG